rnacentral:rRNA from 1 species
CUACGAAAGGUGCAAGCGUUGUUCGGAUUUACUGGGCGUAAAGAGAGUGUAGGUGGUUUAUUAAGUCGGAUGUGAAAUCCCGGGGCUCAACCUCGGAACUGCAUUCGAUACUGAUAGGCUAGAGUUUGGGAGGGGUAAGCGGAAUUCCGUGUGUAGCAGUGAAAUGCGUAGAUAUACGGAGGAACACCUGAGGCGAUGGCGGCUUACUGGACCGAUACUGACACUGAGACUCGAAAGCGUGGGUAGCAAACAGGAUUAGAAACCCCUGUAGUCC